UGUGGGGAUGGGCGCACGGCACGGGGUCCGUCCCACCGCCGUGCAGUGACGUCUCUUCCCCGCA
ensembl:miRNA gga-mir-2128 gga-mir-2128